CAUGAAACAGUCCAAACUGUCCACUGUAAAGCGCCUUACAAAACCGAUUCUUUUUGGGACACUGCUAGUAGGUUUGGCGACGGCAUUUUUGAAUAGACAUCUGUUCAUGGAGGACCUGUCGGAUCUCAGGGAGCAGGAACGAUCCCGCAAUGAAGCCAAACGACUGGAGGUGCUGGAGAGGAGGAGGAGACAAAUAGAUGAACAUGCAGGGAAGAGUGCAGGGGACAGGUGAGAUGACUGAAUGGACGCCUGCAGGAAAUCAACACUGAAGAAAACAUGGGACAUCUUUGCCUAUAAGGAUUUGUCAUGUGUUAAAAAACUUUUCCUUGAUUGUUCUGUUAUUGCUGUAAUGGGACAGAAGUUGCAUGGAAAGUCUAAGAGUGAUAUAGCAAGCAAUGAUUUGAAUUGAUUGCCUUGAUCAUAUUUAGCUGUAACGGCUGGAUUUGCAAGAGGAUUAUACAUUACACAAAUGUAAGAUGCAAAUGGGGGGUAAUUAUUAGUAAGCCAAAUAAAUAUGGAUGUGCCUCAUUCCUACCA
ensembl:lncRNA